UACGGGGGGGGCAAGCGUUGUUCGGAAUUACUGGGCGUAAAGGGCUCGUAGGCGGCCAACUAAGUCAGACGUGAAAUCCCUCGGCCUAACCGGGGAACUGCAUCUGAUACUGGAUGGCUUGAGUUCGGGAGAGGGAUGCGGAAUUCCAGGUGUAGCGGUGAAAUGCGUAGAUAUCUGGAGGAACACCGGUGGCGAAGGCGGCAUCCUGGACCGACACUGACGCUGAGGCGCGAAAGCCAGGGAGCAAAGCGGG
rnacentral:rRNA from 1 species